rnacentral:rRNA from 1 species
CGGGGGGGGGGGCAAGCGGUUGUUCGGAAUUACUGGGCGUAAAGGGCGCGUAGGCGGACGAGGACAGUCUUUCGUGAAAUCCCACGGGCUCAACCGUGGAACUGCGGGAGAUACUACUCGUCUUGAGUUCGGGAGAGGAGUGUGGAAUUCCCAGUGUAGCGGUGAAAUGCGUAGAUAUUGGGAGGAACACCGGUGGCGAAGGCGGCACUCUGGACCGAUACUGACGCUGAGGCGCGAAAGCUAGGGGAGCAAACGGGAUUAGAUACCCCGGUAGUCCUAGCUGUAAACGAUGAGCACUUGGUGUAGCGGGUAUCGACCCCUGCUGUGCCGGAGUUAACGCAUUAAGUGCUCCGCCUGGGGAGUACGGUCGCAAAGGCUG